GUAAGGAAUAUUGGGCAAUGGACGCAAGUCUGACCCAGCCAUGCCGCGUGCAGGAUGACAGCCCUACGGGUUGUAAACUGCUUUUGUACGGGAAAAACCCCUCGGACGUGUCCGGGGCUGAUGGUACCGUAAGAAUAAGGAUCGGCUAACUCCGUGCCAGCAGCCGCGGUAAUACGGAGGAUCCAAGCGUUAUCCGGAUUCAUUGGGUUUAAAGGGUCCGCAGGCGGACUAAUAAGUCAGGGGUGAAAGCCUACGGCUCAACCGUAGAACUGCCCUUGAUACUGUUAGUCUAGAGUACAGUUGAGGUGGGCGGAAUGUGUCAUGUAGCGGUGAAAUGCAUAGAUAUGACACAGAACACCGAUCGCGAAGGCAGCUCACCAAGCUGUAACUGACGCUCAGGGACGAAAGCGUGGGGAUCAAACAGGAUUAGAAACCCCGGUAGUCC
rnacentral:rRNA from 1 species